GCAUCGUUAGCGCAGUAGGUAGCACAUCAGUCUCAUAAUCUGAAGGUUGUGCGUUUGAUCCUCACACAAGGCA